CCUACGGGGGGCUGCAGUGAGGAAUAUUGGACAAUGGAUGGAAAUCUGAUCCAGCCAUGCCGCGUGCAGGAAGACGGCCCUAUGGGUUGUAAACUGCUUUUGUAUGGGAGCAAUAAGGGCUACGUGUAGUCCGAUGAGAGUACCAUACGAAUAAGCACCGGCUAACUCCGUGCCAGCAGCCGCGGUAAUACGGAGGGUGCAAGCGUUAUCCGGAUUUAUUGGGUUUAAAGGGUGCGUAGGCGGUUUGAUAAGUCAGCGGUGAAAUAUUUCAGCUUAACUGGAAGGGUGCCGUUGAUACUGUCGAGCUUGAAUUUAGUUGCUGUGGGUGGAAUGUGUGGUGUAGCGGUGAAAUGCAUAGAUAUCACACAGAAUAUCGAUUGCGAAGGCAGCUCACAAAGCUAAUAUUGACGCUGAUGCACGAAAGUGUGGGGAUCAAACAGGAUUAGAUACCCUAGUAGUC
rnacentral:rRNA from 1 species